AGAGUUUAGUUUAUAUUUAAAAUAUUAAAUUGUAAAUUUAAAAGUUUUUUGCUCUU
rnacentral:tRNA from 1 species